CGGGCAGAAGCCUGUGAUUGGUAAGAACCGCGUGUUCCUGGAUUUGAAGGCCCGAAGCCGCGCAGUUUAGAUGGGAGAAACCUUCCCGUAGGCGCCGUUGUGAAAACCAUGGGAUUCAUUCCUCAGUGUGAGAUCUCCCCAAAGAGACGAUUCGAUGUGACAAUUAUCUAAGCUCAGAGAUAAAGAAGUUACUAUCUGGGCUGGAAUAAUAAUUCACUCAGUGAAGUGCUUGACUUGCAGCCACGUGGACUGGAGUCAGUGACAGAAUCAACCAGGUACAGUGGUAUGCCCUUGUGAUCCCAGCAACAGACUAUCAGGGACAGACCAAUCCCUGGGGCUCAACAGCUGACCAGCCAGCCUAGCCUAGCCUACUUGGUGAGUUUCCAGGCAAGAAAGACCUUGUCUCACACACAAAGCCGUCAUCUCCUGAAGACGCCAGGACUGUCCCUGUUAUGUUCCAACUCACCCUCCAGACCUGAGAAUUAUGAUUAUCAAACUGAGCCACAAUAUGGAUUUCAAAUUUUGUUGGACCACCAGAGGAACGUGAACAGAGCGAGCACACAAAAUCACCUGCAGAGAUGCCAGAGGGGUGACUACAGCAGAAGCAGCAGAGACGAGCAAUCCUGCGACCAAGCUGUGAAAGCCACAGGCAGUUUGGUAGCCUGACAGCUAAAGUAGCCCCUUCACUGGUUGUCUGUGCACGGAAGCAAGCAUCGAAAUGCAGAAGUACGUUCUCUCCCAAUAUUGCUGUAUUACCUUAGUAAAUACCAUUCCUAAAGGCUAUAAUUUGAUGUCUGCUACAUAAAUCAGCUGCACUCCUUGGCCAACAAAGGACCCAGGAUCGGUUCUCCCAACAAGAUGGAUCACAAUCUUAACUCCCUCUUCUGACCCGCAAAGACACCAGGUAGUGCACCUUCAUACACGCAGACAGAACACUCACACGAAUAAGUCUUUGAAAUUGUGGGGUUAGGGGAGUGGCCUCGUUCCUGGUGGCGCACAUAUUUAAUCACACCACUCUCGGCAGAGGCAGGCAGAUCACUUGGGGAUACAGGACUGAGACCCUGUCUCCCAAAAAAAAAAAAAAAAAAAAAAAAAAAAAAAAAAACAUCGUAGCACAUUCAACGCACACUUGUGAUAACCAUCUUCAGAGACCACUUGAACAUGAACAAGAAUUAAAACCUGGUGUCCAGCUAUUUUGGCGUUGUGAAGGAGUUCAGACUUGGAACCCCAGCGUGGUGAAACUGAGACUGGAGGACUACAGCCGGGUCUAGAGUCUAAGAUAAUCUCAGAAAACGUGUGUGUGUGUGACUGGCGUGUAUUAGCCCUUCAGGGCAUCCCAUGUGUCCUGGGCAGAGGAACACAGGCGAGGCCCACAGGAAUGACACACACAGCGCCAGAGGAAAAAGAACCCCAAAGUCCGCACAAGCGCGACAGCCGCGGCCCACGCCG
rnacentral:lncRNA from 1 species